rnacentral:rRNA from 1 species
AACUAACGCUGGCGGCGUGCCUAACACAUGCAAGUCGUACGAGAAAGUCGGCUUCGGCUGAUGAGUAAAGUGGCGCACGGGUGAGUAACGCGUGGAUAAUCUGCCCUUGAGUGUGGAAUAACGUACCGAAAGGUGCGCUAAUACCGCAUAAUGCCUGGCAACACAAGUUGUCCGGCCAAAGAAGGCCUCUGUUUACAAGCUUUUGCUCAAGGAUGAGUCCGCGUACCAUUAGCUAGUUGGUGGGGUAACGGCCUACCAAGGCUACGAUGGUUAGCUGGUCUGAGAGGAUGAUCAGCCACACUGGAACUGAGACACGGGUCCAGACUCCUACGGGAGGCAGCAGUGAGGAAUAUUGCGCAAUGGGGGCAACCCUGACGCAGCAACGCCGCGUGAGUGAGGAAGGUUUUCGGACUGUAAAGCUCUGUCGAGCGGGAAGAAAUGUACCAUGGCUAAUAUCCAUGAUAUUUGACGGUACCGCUAGA